CCCCCUCUCCUCCUCCACCUUCACGUUCUGUAGCGCGAUCACAUCGGCCCCCGCCUCCUUCAGCACAUCAAGAACGCUCCUUUCGCUAAACCUCCAGCUAUAGCCAUUGGAGCCGCAGCUGACCGUGACUCCCUUUCCCUUGCUCCUCUCCACUGAGAUUUUGUCUUUCGACAAGUUUAUCAAUACCCUCCUCUUCGACGAGCUGUGCUUCAGGAUUCCCUUCGUGGGUCUCUCGUUCGGGGCCUUGGUACCGACCAUAGGGGCCAUCGAGAACAUUGCGGCGUUGAAUGUCACGAUUCGAACUGGCCGAGUUUGAACUAGGUCGGUGUGGGAAUUAGUCUUCAGUGAGCUCGGGUGCUUGGGGUUGUUGAUGAUGGUGAUUUUGGUCUUGGGUUGCCAGCGCUUGAGGCAACGACACAUGCUAUAGAGGAGGAGUCGGAGGUGGAGGCCGAUGGGGGAGAACAUUGGAGGGUUGGUGGUGGUGACGGAGGAGGUUGGGGAGGAUGAGGAUGGGGAGAACAUUGGAGGGGUGGUGGUGGUGGUGGUGGCGCUAGCUUUACAAACUUCAAUGGUGCUGACCAUUAUAUUGUAUGAUUAUUAACAUUGGUUUAAUGUGCUAUAAAAACUUGCAGAUGCACGUACUUGUAUGACAUAUUACACCCUAAACUGAUAUAUGAAGCAAAUCUUGAUACUCUUUGUGAACUUGCUGGUAUCUUGAAAAUCGAAGUUCUAGGGAAGCAGCUUGGUAGACAUAGCGAGUCACUUGCAGGGUUGAGACCCACCUUUCAAAGGAUUCUAGCAGAUAUUCAUGAGAGAUUGACAUUAUGCUCGCACACUCAUUCGCGAUCAGGCUUCAUCUUGGAUAAUGAAGAAUGAGAAUAUGACAAACUCGUAGAGAGUUUCAACUGGUGGCAGAGAUUUUCGAGAAGGAGAUGCAGAGGAGUCAUGCAAUUGUACUCAUUUUUUGUAAUGAUUUAUAAUUUUUGUUAUUGUACUGAUUUUUUUUAUUUCGAUGUUGGUGAACAUUAAAUUGUAUGGUAUCUUUUUUCUAUUGUUAGGAGAAUAACACUAAUACUUGUACUUUUAA